UUCCAUCAUCUACUAUAACACUUUAAUUUAUAGAUGAAAAUGUUUGUGAGACCCAGUGAAAGCAACAGUGCAUUUUCAUAAAGCAUCCACAGAAAGAUGCUUUAGGGGUACGGGAACAUGAGGCUGAGCUCCUUGGUUAGGAUGGAUCAGUGGAAGGUAGUAAAUGUCAGAGAUAAGCACAAAGCUGGCAGAUAUAGCAGACAUGAAGUAAGAGGAGGUGAAAAGGUAGUUGGAGGGCACAUUGUAUUGGUAAGAACAAAAAGGCACAGUUCAAAUAUUGACUUUAUUAGUUUUCCUUGCCUUCUGAAUUCUUAAUGUUAGUAUAUUUUAUAUCCCCCUAGUAACACUAGAGAAGAAAUAGGAAGAGGUGAGUCAUGUAUUUUGGAAUGAAUAUAAAUAAUAAUUAGAAGACUAAUAGUAGUGGCUAACAUUUAUUGCACAUUUAUUCAUUAACUAUAUGUAAUCACCUGCCUAAGAAUUUUACCUCAUUUAAGCCUCACAAUAAACUCCAAGGUAACUGCUUUUGCAUCGACAUUCUUAAGAUGAGGAGAAGCUCAAAAAGAUUAACAACUUGCUCAUAAAACUAGUAAAUUUCAAAGCCAGGAUUAGAAUUUGAACAGUCAAUGGUCUUAACCAUUGGUUUUUAAUAGUCAUGACUCUCACUAACUCUUGACAGAAAUCCCAGAUCAAAUUUCCUUAAGCAACAAAAAGGUGAAAGUAUUUUUCAAAUCCAGGGUUAUUUUAGCCUCUUUUGUAGGCUGAAUUAUUUUUUUGUUUCUUCCUAGCAAGUCUUUCUCCUGUCUUCCUCCUUUAUUCAAGAUCUGCACAAAACAUAACUCCUUCUAACAGUUUAUUUCUCUAUGCACCUGGGUUCCAUUUACGUAGAAAAAUAGAAGAUUUUUUCUUCACCAACAGUGUGACUAAAAUAGCUACUAUUUUCACCAAAGAAAUAUUCUCUCCUUCCAUUGUGUAACAGAGUUAUGGAUAAGUUUUUCCAGGUCAACAGUUUCUAAGUAAGAUCAUGUGACUGAAUUCUAGCUAAUAAGGAAAACCGUUAUACAAACUGAAAAGAUUCCAGCAAAUGAUCCCAGUACACUGUGAGGAAAUCAGUCAGGCUUCAGCCACGUGGCUCUUUUCCCAACCUUGGAUAGAUUGCUCACAGGCCAGAGCUUGGAAACUCUCUCAAGGAAGUGAGCUGGGGGAAAUAUUAGUUUCACCUCGCUUUUUUACCAUUUCUCAGGGAUCACUGUCAUUCAUUGCUUUAUGUUCAGUGCCUUGAAAUACUCAUGACAAUUACAGUUCUCACUUCAGUAACUGCUCACGUGGUCAUAGCUGGUAUUUAUAACUACCUUCUUUCAUUAUGCAUUUGUAUUCCCUUUGCCUUCAGCAAGCACCUCAACUUCCUCAUUGUUCUUUACCUUGUGGAUUGACGCAAACCUUCAUUCCUGAAUGGUCUGGGCCAUUAGUAGUCCUACCUGGAUUAGAUUGUUCUAGUUUUCCAUUGACCUUAGUCACAGGGCAUGGUAAUAGUAAGAGACACGCUAAGGAAUCUCUUGUAUUCCCAACAUACCCUUCCUUAGCUCCACAAUGGAGCAGUAGGCCAAUUUCCCCUUGGUAGUUAGGAUCAGUCACUUUAGCCAGCACACUAACUCUUUUCUUUGGCUACUGAUUCAGAGGCAUGCGGAGCCCAAAAUGGCUGGAUAGUAGUCUUAACUUCUAGUUCAAUGGAAUAAUUGUUGUUUCUUCUAGUGGAAGUAUUCCUCCCUCUGGAACUAAGACAUCUAGUCCAGAAGAGCGUAAAGUCAUGCAAACAGGAAGCAAAAGUUUUGCCACUCGGUUAUUAUGGGUAAUAAUGAGUGGUGCCAAUCCCGUUUUCACUCCUUGAUUUCUGGACCUGUGAAUUCUGGCUGUGGAAGAAACAGGUUGGAUGCUGAUUUAGAGCAUAUACAGCCUUCUGGAGAAUCUUACCUCACCCCUACAAGGUAUUGCCACCUAGCUGGCAUUUUGAGUCUUCAGUGGAUCAUUGCAGUGUUCUGUCAAACUAGCUGCUUCAGGAUGAUGGAGAAUACGGUAAGACUAGUGAAUUCCAUGAGUAUGGGCCCGUUACCAUAUUUAUUUUGAUCUUAAGUGAGUUUGCUGAUUAGAUGCAAUGCUGUGUGAAAAUUAUGACAGUGCGUAAGUCAUUCUGUAAGUCCAUUGGUG
rnacentral:lncRNA from 1 species